GGUGGGGAUCUAAAAUUGCGAUUAUCUCAAAGAGAGAUGUACUGGAUUAGAAAGCUUAACACUGUGAACCCUAAAGGGUUAAAUGAAUCUUGGAGUGUAAAAAGCUUCUUGUGAAACGAUGCUAACACUAUUUUUAUGCCUCCUCUCUUCCAGAUAUUGACCCCUUAGCCACACAUUCAGAAUGUUUCAGAAUCCAGUUAUGCACAUUGGUGAUAGUUGAAGGUUGUCUACGAAUAAAAAUUGAA